rnacentral:rRNA from 1 species
UCGAGAAUCUUCGGCAAUGGGGGAAACCCUGACCGAGCGACGCCGCGUGCGGGAUGAAGGCCCUUGGGUUGUAAACCGCUGUCAGAGGGGAUGAAAGCGCAAGCUUGACAGAGCCUCAGAGGAAGCACGGGCUAAGUUCGUGCCAGCAGCCGCGGUAACACGAACUGUGCGAACGUUAUUCGGAAUCACUGGGCUUAAAGGGUGCGUAGGCGGCUUCGUAAGUCAGGUGUGAAAUCCUACAGCUCAACUGUAGAACUGCGCUUGAAACUACGAGGCUUGAGUAUGACAGGGGUGUGUGGAACUUCCAGUGGAGCGGUGAAAUGUGUUGAUAUUGGAAGGAACACCGGUGGCGAAAGCGACACACUGGGUCAUAACUGACGCUGAGGCACGAAAGCUAGGGUAGCGAACGGGAUUAGAUACCCCCGUAGUCC